AUGGAUGCGUUUGACGAUGCCAUACUGUCUGUGUUGCAGGCUGCGAAUAUUGACUAUGAAGCUUUGAGAAGCUUUACCCGGGAUGACCUGAAGGAUCUCUUUCCAGGCCAUGAAAAUUUCUUCCGGAGAAAGAAGCUUUGGAAUUUCAUAAUCCAACAGGUAAACAGACAUUAUACAACUAAGAAUAUUAUAAUUAAUGCUAGAAUAUAUUAUUGUCUAGCAAUAAUUUGCCUAAUUGUGUAUUUUAUUUUUUAUAUCCCGCAACUGUUAUUGCUUAAGACUGCUGAACAAGAUGCCAACACUUGCCAUCGAAGUGGGAGUAAACCCUUAGGCUUUGUUGUGUCUGAAUGUCAGCCACAAACUUCCACUCCCAUUUCCUACACUGCUCACAAAACAAUGAAAAUGCCAGACCCACCAGAGUAUGUGGUGUAUACAGAUUCAGAACUGGACAUGGUGCGCAGUCAGUACUUUGCAUUGCUUCACAGUGGAAAGGAAAAGGACUGUAAGAUGUCGAAGGAGCUCUGUUGCAGACUUAUAAGGAACACAGUCACCAGCAUGGUUGCAAUCCUCCGUGCUAGUCCCAUGGGGAAAGAAGUAGGAUACCCCUCCAAACUUGAAAUGAGAGCAAUGUCACAGAAGAUUGUCGACUAUUACCCUAUCUUACGUGAUGCUGACACACACAUGCCAUAUGUGACCAUCUACACCAAACUGUACAAACGACUCCAAAAUAUGAAGACCCCAAGGAGGAAACAGGGUUCCAUGCUGCAGCGAGGCAGGCCCAGGAAGGUUAUUUUCAGCUCAGACAACUUAGACAAUGGAACUGAAGGUGACUUAAGUGGCGAAGCAAGUGGUUCAAGUGACUAUACCAUACUUGACCUCAGCAAGGACAACUCAAAUGCAGAGAAAGCAUCAAAAUUCCAUCUACACUCUACUGUACCAACACAGUCAAACAAUAAUACCCUGGCUUCACCACUAUUAUCUAAGUCAGCCUCGUGCUCUGCACCCAGGGCUGCUAUAGGUCCACCAACUCCAGAUGAUGAUGUUGCAGACCAUGACAGCCUGAAGAUGCAGGCAAGACAUUACAAAACCUUGAGCAACAUGUAUAAGAAACCAAAUGCAAAACCCAACCAAAGUGACAUUGCUCAAAUUUUGGACCUGGAGUUUGAGGCCAGACGAGUUUUUAUUGAUGCAGAUGUUACAAGGGAAGAAGACAGGCCCAGAAAAAUAUUUGAAGCAUACCCGUGCUUCAAAGAUAUUCGAAAUGUAAGCCUAGCUACCUUCAAUUAAAUUCCUUGCUUUUCUCUGGAUAGGGUUCUUGACUAACUGAGCACAACUUUGUCAUAGGCGAUGGAUGAACUGUGUCGCAUCGUUGGUGGCUUCAACUGCAUAUACAUAGAUCAAAUGAAGGGUCGAUGGGCAGAGUUUUGUUCGAAAGUGCAGUUCUAUGGCAUUUGGAAGAAACCUCCUCUCCCCUUGGAUGUACGUGGAGGUAAGUGGCCUUUUCAUACAUUAAAUCCAUACAUCAGAUAUGUUCAGAGUACUUUAUUAAGAUACUUUUCUCUGUCCACAGUGGAGUUUACUGUCACUCUCUUCAAUACACUUCCAUCUCUUUUUCCUUCACCAACUACACCACCAAAGCGGCUGGGAAGUGCCAGUGAGGCUCUCCUUCAUAUCCUCAAGGUGAGAACAGCUGUUAGCAAUACCAGCCACUGUAACUUGCACUCCAUUUAAUUGUAUUAUUAUUAUUAUCAUUAUCAUUAUAUUAUUUUGCUUUUCAUGCUUAAUAAGAGAGGGUCAAAGUUCAAUUCAGCAGGGAUUAAAUUACUCCUUCUUCAGGAUUUCUAAAUUGUCAUUUAAAACCUACUCCAGAGAGGCAGCGCAGAGCAAAAGCACAUUGCAGUUGGGAUACAAGUAAAAUUGGUAAAAUUAUUUAUAUAAGGCCUUCAAAAACUAGAAUAUGUAACAAAGUUUUUAAAAAAUGUUUAAAAAAACCAUUGAGAAAAAAAGCACAAAUAUACAUGAUAAAAAGGCUGUAAACUAGAGAAAAUUCAUGCUCAUUUCCAAAAUUUCAUUUAUUUCUUCUAUUCCAACAGUAAAUCAUUCUAAACAUUCUUGAUUUUGCUUUUUGUGUCUUAAGCUGUUUGGAUGCACAGCAACCCUUUCAUUUAAAAUCUUGAAGAAUUUGUCCUUUUUUUGUGCUUUUCUAGCCAGGUGAAGAUGCUAUGCUAUACCUGGAGAAGCGGCCUCUCUCCUCCCCAGUGCUGCUUUUUGAUGGGACAACCAGCAUUGUUGCUGUAGGAAACAUACCAGUGACCACUCUCCCCUUGGAGGAUUUCUGGGAAGGAAUGUUGGUGUUGAUGGCAUAUUACUACACCUUGCACUUAACAUACCCGAAAUGUGUUGCAACGGUCCUCUCUGUCGUACAGACUGAGGUAAUCACUGAUGCCAUCCAUGAUCAAGAUGCCCCUUGUGCAUACAAGAAAGCAAUAGCUGAGUGGAAGUCAUUCUUUGAAAAAUAGGUGAAUACCAAGCAGAAUUUUAUCAGGUCAUUUGCUGUUUGUUUAGUUUUGUAGUACGUUUGUACAACUUUGUUCCUAAUUUGCCUAGCAAUGUCCUGAGAAACUGCUUUACUUAUAAUGCCUUACAAAUGAAAGUUGUUUUUUUUUUUCUUAAUGACACUUUACCUGAGGCAUGUAAAGUUUUAAAUCAGUAAUGCCGUUAUUUACAACAUUGUGAGAUUAUGUGACUCUCACAAAAGUUUAAGGCCAAAAAUGUAAUUUUUUUUCUCUGUUUAGGCCUUUUAAAGGGUUGAUUUAGACUUUAGAGAUUGUGCAGCAGCCCUAUAUUGUUUUAAAAAAGGGUUUUGUUCUCAUGAGAGGAAUAAAUGUUGACAUAUAUCACUCUUGUCCUGGCUGU
ensembl:lncRNA